rnacentral:rRNA from 1 species
UGGGGAAUAUUGCGCAAUGGGGGAAACCCUGACGCAGCGACGCCGCGUGGGUGAUGAAGGCCUUCGGGUCGUAAAGCCCUGUCGGCGGGGAAGAAGGACUCUCGUGCAAAUAGUUCGAGGGUUUGACGGUACCCUUAGAGGAAGCACCGGCUAACUCCGUGCCAGCAGCCGCGGUAAUACGGAGGGUGCAAGCGUUGCUCGGAAUUACUGGGCGUAAAGGGCGUGUAGGCGGUUUCGUAUGUCUGGCGUGAAAGCCCCGGGCUCACCUCGGGAAGUGCGUCGGAAACUGCGAGACUAGAGUCCCGGAGAGGGAGGUGGAAUUCCAGGUGUAGCGGUGAAAUGCGUAGAUAUCUGGAAGAACACCGGUGGCGAAAGCGGCCUCCUGGACGGUGACUGACGCUGAGACGCGAAAGCGUGGGGAGCAAAC